AACAUGGAUUUGAACAAACAAUAUGUCCUUUUUGGCCGGCAAAUUAAUUGAUAAAGAGGCAAAAGAUAAAUACAACUUACAUAGUCAUUCACGAAUGGAACCGGGGGUUGAACAACCGGACGGCCAGGAGAGAACGCAGCAGCACACAGCGGAAUCACUGGGUGAUCCUCGAGGUAUACCAGAUUUUCUUGCAUAAUUUGUGUUGAUCGAAUCGGCCUGCAUGCGGUGGUGUUGCCGCUGAUGGGCGAUGUUGAAUUUCCAAACAACAAAAGAUGAAAUAACCAUGCGGUCGUCCACUCGAAACUUGUAUCAGCAGUGCCUGGUGCCGCCGUGAUCCAAUCACGACCUUUCGCGCCGUGUUUACCGCCUGCGAUGCUGCGUGCGAUUCUCUGUUUGUGCGUCGUGUGCCUGGCCAUCCGGGUAUCCACUUUCGGCCAUUUUUUUAUUUUUAUGAUUUGUAAUGAAAAAAAAUUGUA